AUGAUUUGCCUCCCCAAAACCUGGAAACAAGACUGCUUUUUUAGAAUAAAAAUCCACGUGGGGCUUGAGACCAAGAAUAGCCUUGCUGCCACCAACAUGGAGACUUUGUACUGUGUCCAGUUCUUAGUGCUCGAAUGUCCUAACCUGAAGUUGAAGAAGCCACCCUGGAUGCACAUGCCGUCAGCCAUGAUUGUGUCUGCUCUGGUGGUGGUGUCUUCCUCGUAACUGGAGGAAUAAUUACUGUGUUAUUGCUGAACCUCUAAGUGUUGGCUGAUAAACAUGGGCAUCAGAGGCCAGUAAUUUUCUUGGCCUACAGAGUAAAUGGACAGUAUAUUAUGGAAGGACUUGCAUUCAGCUUCCUGUUUACAAUGGGAAGUUGGCUUUUAUAAUCCUGGGCCGAUUGAAUGCACCAAAUAUCCCAAAACUCAGUAGAUUUCCUCUGCUAUUCAUUGGAUGCGUCUGUGUCCUAUUGAGUUUUUUCAUGCUAGAGUAUUCAUGAGAAUGAAACUGCCGGGUUAAGAGUGCCUUUUGAGAAGAAAUCAGUGGAUACUGGAUUUGUUCCUGUCAAUUAAGUUUUAAAGCCUAUACCAAUCCUCUAAUAUGAAAUGUGGGAAAGAAUGAAGAGCAGCUGUAAAAGAAAUACAUAGUGGGAAAAAAAAAAAACAGAAGUAUAUUGAAGCUUGGACUAGAAUUUCUUCUUGGUAUCAGAGAGACAAGUUUAUCACAGAAUUUUUUUCCUGCUGACCUAUUGAUAUACCAACAAUGUUUAGUGGCAUUUUCUUCUUAAUUUUUCAUUUCUUGAAGAAAAUAUACUCCAUAUCUACAAAAGAAAAAAAAAGAAUAAAAAUCCACACCUAAUAACAGAUCCAUACAACCUCCUGUAUAUGGAGAAUAGCUCCUGUGCUGCCUGAAGCUGAUUUAUUUGAAGAAACAAAAGGAAGAUGAUUAAGUGUAGACAAGUGCUGUUCAAUAGAACUUUUUGCAGCAAUGGAAAUAUCCAUAAAUCUGCACUGUCCAACCAAACUAGCCACAGACAACUGCUGAGCAAUUGAAAAUGAAGCUAGCACAACUAAGAAAUUUUUAUUUUUUUAUUUUUUACUUGGAAGCCCAAGAUCGAACAACUAAGAAAUUGAAGUUCCCAUUUUAAUUCAAAUUCAAAUGGUCACAUGUUGCUAGUGACUACCACAUUGGACAGUGCAGGUGUAGAUGGAGUUUAAAUGAGUCCUGAAACUUAAUGGCUCUAACUUACUUAGGCAAGUUAUGUAACAUCUAAGCCUCAGUCCCUCCGAGUAGAAGGGGUAUAGCCACUGCACCUAAAUCAUAGGGUUGUCCUAAUGUCCUCAAAUACAUUAUGUAAAACACUUAGCUCAGAGCCUAGCACAUAGUUACCCAGACUGGUGUGAAUGUCCAGACCCUACCUGGGAGAGGGGGCCCUAGCUUAUAACUUUAGAACCCUCAAUUGCAGUUAGGCAUGUUCCAGCUAACACUCCACUUGGAGUGCAGGCUCAUCAGGACACCAUAUGUUUGUAAACUGGCUUCCGAGUCCCAGUCCUGCCAGCUCUUGAGAGUCAGUUCUCUCCUUGUGAACAAAUUAGCAGGCUCUGGGCCUAUAAGAUCAAGGACCACUGUGUCCCCCCACCUUCACCACCAGAGAACUCAACUAAGAUAAUACUCUGCCAAGGGAUGUUUGCCAGUUAGCUUGGAGGCCAACUUUGAUCUGAUGGACUUUGGCUUUCUCCUACUAUUUAAAAUGUGUGUUAGGAGAGUAGGGGCAGCAGUGGGCAGGGGUGUACUUUUCCUGACUCUAGCCCAGGACAUUUGGUAUUUUUGAAUAGGCAUCAUUCAGCCCGGCUUCAGUAUUAGGAAUAAGAUACUCUUUUUAUUCCGUCCUCUAUGGAGACAAAAAGCGGCUCCUCCUUUGAGCACUGACCUACAUUUCCCUCUUCAGCCUCCUCAGGCCAAGGAACUGGACAGGGCAGCAGAACAAGGCUGUCUCCUUAGGAUCCUGACAAAGGCACUGCCCUCUCCAACCUGGACCCAGCCCCACUUGCCCUUACUUUUUGCUUACACCUAGAGUGCACCCUCACAGGAAAGGGCUGUGCUGGCUGCAGAUGAUCAUCUUGUCCCGUCUCAACGGGUGUUAUCUAUCACCAUUUCAGUGUCAGUGGUUUUUUAUGUGUUUUCUUCCAGGCUUUGAUGCUGAGAUCUGACUGUCUCUUAAUAUUUUGUAUCCUUUCAUGUUUUUCAAUGCAACCCUCAAUGUCAUCAUCAAAUCUCUUCAGCAGAAUGCUGGAGGCCUCCCGCUUCUGAACCUUUACAUGCAGAGGUCAUCACUGGGCACUGAACAGGUCAGCUGCCUAGGGCAAUGUUGGCAGUGUUGUGGCUCAUCCUUGAUCCUAUACCCUUAUGGCAAGAUUCCUUUCUCUUAGUCAGAGAGCAGAUGGGCACAUAAUCUUGUUCUCCCAGGGACUGCAUUCUCAGGAGUCUUUUUCCUGCUCCUUGGGCUCCUCCUUGGGUUAGGGAGGUUUGUCCAAGCCUGUGGACACAGAGCAGUCUGCCACAGGCUGGGCCAACUUUUUUUUUUUUUUUUUUAGAAUGCUCUGUCCAGGCUGGAGUGCGGUGGUACAGUCUUGGCUGACUGCAACCUCCACUUCCCAGGUUCACAAGCAAUUCUCAUGCCUCAGCCUUUCAAGUAGCUGAGACUAACAGGCACAUACCAGCUAAAUUUUUUUAUUUUUAGUAAAGACAGUGUUUCGCCAUGUUGGCCAGACCAGUCUCAAACUCCUGGCCUCAAGUCAUCCACCUGUCUCAGCCUCAAGUGUAGGGAUUAGAGGUGUGAGCCACAGCACCUAGCCUGGACCACCCUUCUCUGAGUCACACUCCAACUGUACUACAGCUGUAUCCAAAGGCUUUGUCUCCCAGGGUAACCUGAAGACCUAACUGGGCAUACUAGCUGUCUUCAGAUUCCUUUCCUUUUUAGAUCUUUAGGUCCCAUCUCUUUUAGAUCAAUAUCCAGUUGGUCUUGGGAUUCGUCCUUUUCCUACCCAGCUCUCAUCCUCUUCUAGGCUGUUCCAUGGCCUCUUCCACAUAUUACAUUUGUGGUCUUGGGAAAGUUAGAAUACUUAGCAUCUUGACCAAGGUCACUUGGCCCAACCACAGCCUAAUAAUCCCAUGCCGUGUGCACAUGUGCCCUCUCUCUCCAACCUGGACCCACAUGUACACAUGGCCUGGGAUUAGCCUGUGGUUUAUCAGUUAUUUUGUCUUUUUUUUUGAUACAGGGUCUCACUCUGUCACCCUGGCUGGAGUGCAGUGGCGAUCAUAGCUCACUGCAGCUUCGAUCUCCUGGCUCAAGUGAUCCUCCCACUUCAGCCUCCUAAGUAGUUGGGACUACCCACAUGUACCACCAUGCACAGCUAAUUUUUUGGGUUUUUUUGGGGUUUUGUGUUUGUUUGUUUAAGUAGAGACGAGGUCUUACUACAUUGCCUGGCUGGUCUCAAACUCCUGAGCUCAAGCAAUCUUCCCACCUUGUCCUCCUACUAAAGAGUUGAGAUUAUAGCGUGUGCCACUGUUAGUCUCUUUUGUCAGUCCAUCAACCUCUGAUAUCCUCACACCAGACAGGACAGGGAUCUGUAUUGAAACUUUAUUACAAAAUUAUAAAGCAGAGCUCUGUAACAAAAUAAUACACAUUUGGGUUUGCUUUAACCUCCAAGUAAGUCUGAGAAAAUCUUAAUAUAAGCCACUUGAAGUAACAAUUCACAUCCAAGAGAUUUCCACAAAUUUAUACAAUGUAUAUUGAGCACUAAUUCCUGUACAGCUUAUUCUGAUUAGUUUGGAUCCAACUAUUCCAAGGUAUUGUGAACCAGUCAGCUGUCUUUUGAAACAAGUUUUAACUGAAAUCUCAGAGCAAUCACAGCAAAAGCCACAGAAUAAUUGUAAGAAUUAGAUAUUUCCAUAAUAAUUAAAACCAAGGAUCCAUGAAGGGCAGGAGGGAGGAUUCAAAGAUUUUAAAAAAUCAAAUUUUAGACCUUGGUUAAAUACUAACUGGAAUGGGAUCUUGGAACUCCCAACUUUUAUUUGGUAUAAUAAAAAUGAUACCAAAAAAAAA